rnacentral:rRNA from 1 species
UGCCAGGGCACUACGAAUACAUAUUUAAAACCCAAAGGACUUGGCGGUGCUAUAAUCCAACUAGGGGAACCUGUCCCUUGAUUCGAUAAUCCACGAAAACCUUACUUACCUUAGAUAAUAUCAGUUUAUAUACCGUCGUCUAGCCGGCCUUACCGAGAGAUAAAAAGCUGGCAGAAAAGGUUUUCUCUAAUAAGACAGAUAAAGGUGUAGCCAAUAGGUAAAGGGAAGGAUGUGUUACAAUUAAUAAUUUGAUAAUGGAAUCCUAAUGAAACUUUAGGAGGAAAGAGGACUUAGAAGUAAUUUUCUAGU